UACGUAGGGUGCGAGCGUUGUCCGGAGUUACUGGGCUUAAAGCGCUUGUAGGCGGUCCACCAAGUUUGGGGUGACAGUUGCCGACUUAAUCGGCAAAGUGCCUCAAAGACUGGCGGACUUGAGGGCCACAGAGGGACAUGGAACUCCAGGUGUAGUGGUGAAAUGCGUAGAUAUCUGGAAGAACACCAAAGGCGAAGGCAGUGUCCUGGGUGGUCGCUGACGCUGAGAGGCGAAAGCCAGGGGAGCGAACGGG
rnacentral:rRNA from 1 species